GCAUAAGUGGCUCAGUUGGUUAAGCAUCUGGCUUGGGCUCAGGUCAUAUCUCACAGUCGUGGGUUUGAACCCCGCAUUGGGCU
rnacentral:tRNA from 1 species